rnacentral:rRNA from 1 species
GAUGAACGCUAGCUACAGGCUUAACACAUGCAAGUCGAGGGGAAACGACAUCGAAAGCUUGCUUUUGAUGGGCGUCGACCGGCGCACGGGUGAGUAACGCGUAUCCAACCUGCCCACCACUUGGGGAUAACCUUGCGAAAGUAAGACUAAUACCCGAUGAUAUCCCUAGAAGACAUCUGAAAGGGAUUAAAGAUUUAUCGGUGAUGGAUGGGGAUGCGUCUGAUUAGCUUGUUGGCGGGGUAACGGCCCACCAAGGCUACGAUCAGUAGGGGUUCUGAGAGGAAGGUCCCCCACAUUGGAACUGAGACACGGUCCAAACUCCCUACGGGAGCAGCAGUGAGGAAUAUU